rnacentral:rRNA from 1 species
UACAGGGGGUGCAAACGUUGCUAUCGGAAUCAUUGGGCGUAAAGCGCACGUAGGCGGUUCGUUAUGUCGGAUGUGAAAGCCCUUGGCUUAACCGAGGAAGUGCAUCCGAAACUGGCGAGCUAGAGUACGAAAGAGGAGUCGCGGAAUUCCCGGUGUAGAGGUGAAAUUCGUAGAUAUCGGGAGGAACACCGGUGGCGAAGGCGGCGAUCUGGGUCGAUACUGACGCUGAGGUGCGAAAGCGUGGGGAGCAAACAGG